UUUCCGUAGGUGAACCUGCGGAAGGAUCAUUAUUGUAUAACCACGGAUCAAGGCCUGGCUCUAACGCGAGUUGUCGUGCACGCGCGAGGACCGUCUAUCACGUCCAUAUCGCCCCUACUCGCGCCACCGCGUCGGCCUCGCGAUGACGUAUUCGGUUCGCGGUUUACGUUUUCACCCAAGCUUGUUAUGGCGUGUAGAAUGUAUUUGUUGUUUUUGCGAACACUCAAUCAAUACAACUUUCAUCAAUGGAUCUCUUGAAGCUCGCAUCUAUGUAGAACU
rnacentral:misc_RNA from 1 species